CAGCAGCCACGGUAAUACGGAGGGAGCUAGCGUUGUUCGGAAUUACUGGGCGUAAAGCGCGCGUAGGCGGUUACUCAAGUCAGAGGUGAAAGCCCGGGGCUCAACCCCGGAACUGCCUUUGAAACUAGGUGACUAGAAUCUUGGAGAGGUCAGUGGAAUUCCGAGUGUAGAGGUGAAAUUCGUAGAUAUUCGAAAGAACACCAGUGGCGAAGGCGACUGACUGGACAAGUAUUGACGCUGAGGUGCGAAAGCGUGGGGAGCAAACAGGAUUAGAUACCCCUGUAGUCCCUGUCUCUUAUAC
rnacentral:rRNA from 1 species